rnacentral:rRNA from 1 species
UACGUAGGGGGCAAGCGUUGUCCGGAUUUAUUGGGCGUAAAGAGCGUGUAGGCGCCAGACAGGUCCGUUGUGAAAACUCGAGGCUCAACCUCGAGAUGUCGAUGGAAACCGUCUGGCUAGAGUCCGGAAGAGGAGUGUGGAAUUCCUGGUGUAGCGGUGAAAUGCGCAGAUAUCAGGAAGAACACCUAUGGCGAAGGCAGCACUCUGGGACGGUACUGACGCUGAGACGCGAAAGCAUGGGGAGCGAACAGG